UUUAAAUAUUUGGGUUUUAUUCGCUCGCUUUUAACAAUUAUUUGUUUAAUGUAUACUUAAAAAUUGUAUAGAACAAUUAUAAAUAAAUAAAAAAUUCAUUUGUAGAAUGUUUGCCAAAAAUAUCAUGAUUAAAACUUAAGACUAAAGUAUAAUCUAAUCAUAACAUCUUAUGAAAAAACUCUAGUUUUCUCUCGAUUUCUCACUCUUCAUGGUAUUUUAUCUUUUGGCAUGUGCUUGGGAUUUGUGACAAAAUUUCUCAAGUUGUUUGGACUUCAAAUCUCCAUUUUACUUGGUUUUCUUGCUUCCAAAAUUUCUAUGAGAUGUCUUUCAUCGGAUCAACUCAAUGGUUUAUACCAAAAAGAUUAGAACAUCCUAUAAAGUUGUCUGGUUAAUAAAUACUAUAGCUAUUUUCUCAAGGAUGGAAAACUUAUUCCAUUUCAUUAACAAGAGUAUCAUAUUCAUGAAUACAUCUUUAGCUAUUUUUGAGCAUAAUACAUUUUUGGAAAAUGUAACCCAGCUCAGUUAAAUCCUCUUCUUAAAACUGCCUGUACUCAUCACUAAGACACAUACAAAGGCCAAUACAUUUGUCACACUGAAAGUUGCAGACUUCAACCAUUUGGUCUGAGUUGGUGUGCUGUUAUUCCUGUUAUGUGCCACAACUUGCAUAUUUACGAUUCUAGACUAGGACAUAAGCACAUUGACUCUGUGGCUGAUAGCUUCACAACUAUCAUUAAUGUCAUCCCAUUAGUUGCUUGACCAGUUAAAGAUUUGGGUUGAUAACGUGGGUGGUGGAAUUUAACUUUUUUAGAAAAUCAAUUUUAAAACAUUUUUUUUUAAUUUUACUAUUUUAUUAAACUCAAUAUCAUAUUGCGGAAGGAACUAACUUAUUUUUCUGUUUUUAACAAUCCGUAACUCCAAUAACCACAAAAACCUAACAGAAAUUGAUAUCCCAAGUCAGACAUCAGCGAAAAAACAUCAUUUAGGCAUACUUUACAAGUAAGGGGAGCUCCAUUUCUUACUCAUAAUCGCAACACAACAGUCGAACAAAACCCCUUCAUACAAAAAAAUGCACACCCUAUCAACGAAAACAAUCUCUGAGGUUCCAACACCAUUAAUAAUAUAAGCACGUCAGGAAGGUCAAUAUAUUAAAGAUAUACUCAUUCAACAAUAUAGACAAGCUAUGUGGCUAAGCCAACACACCAAAUAUUCACACAAUCUAAUCUUAUCUUUUGACAUCUAGUACCUUAGUGUAGUCACAUUAUGUUUGCUUCUUGAAAAUAAGCAUAUCACAUAUUGGUAAGGCUAGACUUUGAAUAGCACAAUCACGUCAAAGCUAACUAAUAGCAUCACAAUAAAGCAUAAUGUUGAAGGAAAUAAUAAAGAA
rnacentral:lncRNA from 1 species